UACGGAGGGUGCAAGCGUUAUCCGGAUUCACUGGGUUUAAAGGGUGCGUAGGUGGGUUUGUAAGUCAGUGGUGAAAUCUCCGUGCUUAACAUGGAAACUGCCAUUGAUACUAUAGAUCUUGAAUUUUCUGGAGGAUAGCGGAAUAUGUCAUGUAGCGGUGAAAUGCUUAGAUAUGACAUAGAACACCAAUUGCGAAGGCAGCUUACUACCCGAAUAUUGACACUGAGGCACGAAAGCGUGGGGAUCAAACAGG
rnacentral:rRNA from 1 species